GUUCCUAGGCUGUCAUUGAAAAUAAGAAUUUGUUCUUAACUGACUUGCCUAGUUAAAUAAAUAAAAUCGAGGAUUAUAUCAUUUAAUAUAUGUUCCUGUUUUGAUAUGCAUUUAUAAUUAUAUUGGACAUGUUAUCCGUUAUCACAUGCCAGUAUGUGUUUCGUAUCCCAGUGCAUGUAGCUCACAUUAGGAUGAAGUAGCCUAGGCCUUCUGAUGCCUAGGCCUUCUGAUGCCUAGGCCUUCUGAUGCCUAGGCCUUCUGAUGCCUAGGCCUUCUGAUGCCUAGGCCUUCUGAUGCCUAGGCCUUCUGAUGCCUAGGCCUUCUGAUGCCUAGGCCUUCUGAUGCCUAGGCCUUCUGAUGCCUAGGCCUUCUGAUGCCUAGGCCUUCUGAUCUAGUCAGAUUGCAUCAUAUCACCUUUCAAUACUAGUAAUCAACUAAUAUAGAAGUUAUCUUGAACAAUCGUUGUCAUUUUAAUAAUAUGCACGGGUUUGGUAUUCGUAAGAAUGAAUCACAAUGCAAGCCUACUCAUUACAAAAAUACUAUAUUAUUUUCACAGUGAAACACCACUAUUCUGGCUAUUAAUCAUUCUUAAUACGGUCAUUAAAAUAGCUAAAUAACAUAUCUAAAAAAAUGUAUAGGCAAUAUGAUAUCAUGCAAGUUUGCCUGUUAAAGUCUACAACUUGUAUUCGGUGCAUAUGAUUAAAUUUGACAAUGUAGCAGCAGUCUAGGCAAUACAGAGGAGGAACUUAUAUCAUACAACCAUUAUUCUGGUUGGUGUCAACUUCAUCAUUUAACAUCAUUUAAGGGACUGAAGAGAUUGACUCUGUUACUUGAUGUUUGUGUCUGAUAUUUGCAUUUUUGGUGUAGUUGUUCACUGAAUUCCUAACAGUAGUUACUCACGCUGGUACAGUGGCUACAAACGUCUCGCGCUCGGUGGAAUCUGUUAUCACAUGAUGCUGCCUUUGAAUCGCAUCCCACGUGUCAGUAACCGACGGGAAAAGUGUUACCUACUAAGGUAGCAGCCGUUGGAGGCAGGGAGACGGCAGUCUUUGGAGGCAGGGAGACGGCAGUCUUUGGAGGUAGACAGGGAGACGGCGGUCUUUGGAGGUAGACAGGGAGACGGCAGCCUUUGGAGGCAGGGAGACGGCAGACUUUGGAGGUAGACAGGGAGACGGCAGUCUUUGGAGGUAGACAGGGAGACGGCAGUCUUUGGAGGUAGACAGGGAGACGGCAAUCUUUGGAGGUAGACAGGGAGACGGCAGUCUUUGGAGGCAGGGAGACGGCAGCCUUUGGAGGUAGACAGGGAGACGGCAGCCUUUGGAGGUAGACAGGGAGACGGCGGUCUUUGGAGGUAGACAGGAGACGGCAGCCUUUGGAGGCAGGGAGACGGCAGCCUUUGGAGGCAGGGAGACGGCAGACUUUGGAGGCAGGAGACGGCAGUCUUUGGAGGUAGACAUGGAGACGGCAGUCUUUGGAGGCAGGGAGACGGCAGACUUUGGAGGCAGGGAGACGGCAGUCUUUGGAGGUAGACAGGAGACGGCAGUCUUUGGAGGCAGGGAGACGGCAGUCUUUGGAGGCAGGAGACGGCAGUCUUUGGAGGUAGACAGGGAGACGGCAGCCUUUGGAGGCAGGGAGACGGCAGACUUUGGAGGCAGGGAGACGGCAGUCUUUGGAGGUAGACAGGGAGACGGCAGCCUUUGGAGGCAGGGAGACGGCAGACUUUGGAGGCAGGGAGACGGCAGUCUUUGGAGGUAGACAGGGAGACGGCAGUCUUUGGAGGUAGACAGGGAGACGGCAGCCUUUGGAGGCAGGAAGACGGCAGCCUUUGGAGGCAGGGAGACGGCAGCCUUUGGAGGCAGGGAGACGGCAGCCUUUAGAGGCAGGGAGACGGCAGCCUUUGGAGGUAGACAGGUAGACGGCAGUCUUUGGAGGUAGACAAGGAGACGGCAGUCUUUGGAGGUAGACAGGGAGUCGGCAGUCUUUGGAGGUAGACAGGGAGACGGCAGUCUUUGGAGGUAGACAGGGAGACGGCAGCCUUUGGAGGCAGGGAGACGGCAGCCUUUGGAGGUAGACAGG